rnacentral:misc_RNA from 1 species
GGACCGCGGUCGCCUCAGUUCGAGGCCGCGUGCACGACGUGCCGAGCGGUCGUAGUCGGGGUUCCUGUGCUGCGUGCCCGCGGGAGGGGAAAUCGUUUCGUUUCUGUCUGACAUUCGCCCGAUGCCCGUUCGGGGCAUGAGGCGAACGCCGCGGCGCCUCCCGUGUUCCACCAGGGUCGUUUCGACCGUCUUGGGCCACGGAAGGUCGCCCGUGCUUCGGGAUGCGGAAGGCCUGCUGCGACGGGGGGGGAGCGUACCCCGGCCGUCGAAAGCCGUCCCUGAGGGAAAGGAAAGAAGGACCUGCGGCUCCCGUCUCUGGCCCGAGGCGGAGCGGGCGUCGAGGUCGCGAAGGAACGC